AAGGGGAAAAGCGAAGGCCGCCCGCCUAUCGGCGAAACGCGCUGGAGGGCCUGCGAGCGGGCUUAGCCCGCCGCAGCAGGACCGAAGCGUCGCGAGCCGAUGGCGGCCGGAGCUAGACAAUUCGAAAAGCGGAGGCCGAAAUGGCCAACUGUCGAUACACCGCGCUUUCGUUUCGUUCGGUUUUGAGGGAAUGAGAAAUUCCUUCAAAAGCGCCUGUGCCUGCGUCUGCUAGCAGGUUCGGGGGAGCAAGAUUCCUCGGCACAAAGCUGCAAGGAGGAUUGCUCAAAGAAGCCGCUUUGCGUCUUCUAGCAGAUUCAAGGAAGAUGGAUUCCUCGGCGCAAAGCUGCAAAGAAGCGAAUUCAAAGGAGCUACUUUGCAUCUGCGUCUUCUAGCAGAUUCGAGGAAGUGGGAUUCCUCGAUGCAAGACUGCAGAGAAGCAAAUUCAAGAAGCAGUCUCGUUCCUUGAAAACUAGAUAACCGGAAAAGCGGAGGCGAGCGUUUCGCCGCGAUGGGCAAAUGUUCUUCGCCUGGAGGGGAUGUUCACAUCCCGAAGGCGAAGGUUAUUUGACCCCGAGCGGCGGCGAGCCGAAGCUAGACAGUAAGGAAGAAGCCGAGAGCGCUGUA
rnacentral:misc_RNA from 1 species